UUUAACUGAAGAGUUUGAUCAUGGCUCAGAUUGAACGCUGGCGGCAGGCUUAACACAUGCAAGUCGAGCGGGCGAGGUUGCUUCGGUAACUGAGCUAGCGGCGGACGGGUGAGUAAAGCUUAGGAAUCUGCCUAUUAGUGGGGGACAACAUUUCGAAAGGGAUGCUAAUACCGCAUACGUCCUACGGGAGAAAGCAGGGGACCUUCGGGCCUUGCGCUAAUAGAUGAGCCUAAGUCGGAUUAGCUAGUUGGUGGGGUAAAGGCCUACCAAGGCGACGAUCUGUAGCGGGUCUGAGAGGAUGAUCCGCCACACUGGGACUGAGACACGGCCCAGACUCCUACGGGAGGCAGCAGUGGGGAAUAUUGGACAAUGGGGGGAACCCUGAUCCAGCCAUGCCGCGUGUGUGAAGAAGGCCUUUUGGUUGUAAAGCACUUUAAGUGGGGAGGAGGCUUACCUGGUUAAUACCUGGGCUAAGUGGACGUUACCCACAGAAUAAGCACCGGCUAACUCUGUGCCAGCAGCCGCGGUAAUACAGAGGGUGCGAGCG
rnacentral:rRNA from 1 species